rnacentral:snRNA from 1 species
GUUCCCUGGAAAGGGGCGCCAGA